GGGCCCGCACAAGCGGUGGAGUAUGUGGUUUAAUUCGAUGCAACGCGAAGAACCUUACCAGGGUUUGACAUCCUUGGAACUUUCUAGAGAUAGAUUGGUGCCUUCGGGAGCCAAGUGACAGGUGCUGCAUGGCUGUCGUCAGCUCGUGUCGUGAGAUGUUGGGUUAAGUCCCGCAACGAGCGCAACCCUUGUCCUUAGUUACCAGCACUUCGGGUGGGAACUCUAAGGAUACUGCCAGUGACAAACUGGAGGAAGGCGGGGACGACGUCAAGUCAUCAUGGCCCUUACGACCAGGGCUACACACGUGCUACAAUGGUAGGUACAGAGGGCAGCUACACAGCGAUGUGAUGCGAAUCUCAAAAAGCCUAUCGUAAGUCCAGAUUGGAGUCUGCAACUCGACUCCAUGAAGUAGGAAUCGCUAGUAAUCG
rnacentral:rRNA from 1 species